UAGAUCCCGGGAUUGUAGCGAAAUAUAUCAGAAUAAAUCCAACGUCAUGGAAGAACGAUAUUUGUUUGAGAGUCGAGUACUAUGGCUGUGACGGUAAGAUAACAGGGGGUCUAAAAAAAACGCUAUGGAAAUUCAACAGGCUGUUGUGCACCACAAACUUAACUAAACAAUUCAAUUUUUACAUAGGACGAAAGAGCUGUUAUUUAGCUUUUCUAUGAUAUAUUUCUUAUACUGUAACGAUGAGAAAUGGCCACAUACUCGUCAAAUAAAAGUUUCGAUCGAAAUCACAUUCUUCCACCAUUGGGAAUUGAAAAAAAACAUUAAUUAUGCAAAGUUAAUCAAUCCAAAAUCACCGCGAGUCUGCUGCAAGGUACUUGUUUCGCAAAACGUUUUGAUUACGAAUAUUCUCUGUUCAGUGGUUAAUUGAACUAUGUUUAAUGCAAUAAUGGACGUUCUUAUGGUCUCACUAAGACGAAGAUUGACGAGUUGAGCUUAUUUUAGUGAUAAUUUAACAUUCAAUUUCAUUUCCCUCUUGGGAAUUCCGAACGGUGGAAGAAUGUGAUUUCGACCGGCAAUUUUUAUUUGACGAGUGUGUGCCCAUUUCUCAUCGUUACGAUUUAAAAAGAUUAUCAUUCAAAAGCUAAAUAACUGUUCUUUCGUUCUAUGUAAAAAUUGAAUUGUUUAGCCACGUUUAUGAUGCACGACAGCCUGUUGAAUUUCCAUAGCGUUUUUUUUUAGACACACUGUAUAGUCAGUUUUAAGUAGAGCCAAACUACAGUAGUCUUCUCGCACUCUUUUCUAUAAGCCUUUUCCGGUUUAUCGACGCCAUAUUGCCAAUGGCAAUGGCAAUGUUAUGAUACGUUGUUUUCUUUUUUUAGCGUGAAGAGUUGAAUAUGAAAGUGCCAUUCUUCAGUUUAAAACAAUGAACACCGGUGUUUGGACAAGACUUUGUUCCACCACAAUGGCGAUUUACUCAUAACUAGCAGCAGUACAAACUAUACCAUGCAGAAAUUUCAGUAAAUCGUUUGCAACGAACACAUUGAUAUAGCGGAAAUAUGUGGGGAUAAACCUACCGGAUUUUCUUAGACAUAGUCAUUUCAGCAUAGACAUAGUAUAGUUCUAUUUUUAUAAACAAAGCAUAACAUUUGUAUACCUCAGGCUCAGCCGCACACGUCGAGUCGCAAACACGUUCAGAUGUAAUUGGUGAUUUCCGUCCAAUUUCUUCAUGAUACCACGAAUUGUGAAGACAAAAGAUGAAAUAAGCGUAUGUUGUAUUGACUGUAACAUUUUGGACAACUUUGAAAGAAGAUUUCCUACGAUUUUCGACGAUUUUCAACACAUGUGCCGACAGAGCUUCUUUCCCGAUGUUAAGAAAUUCAUGCAAUUUGGCAAAAAAUUACCAUGCGCAUAAAUCGUGACGAGUGAUUGGAUAGGGUUUUCCCAAAACAGUGACACUAUAGAAAUUAUGCUAUUGUUAUAUUUGAAUGACUGAGCACUUUGCUCAACACAAGAGUUCGUAAACACAAUUGAAGUUGCAUUUUUAAUUACCAGGCGCAUGAAAUCAACAACAAUAGGAUAAUUUCUACUACAGUGUCACCUUUUUGGGGGACACUCUGUAUAAUUUCGAAUUAUAUCAUACCAUAUCAUACCAGCAUACAAAGUCACACAAUUGGUAAAUAGAGCGUUUGCACAUGACGUCACAGCCACAUGACGUCAUAGUUAAAUUUUGUAAUAUAUACUGUAUGAAUUAUUGAGUAAAGAAAAACCA
rnacentral:lncRNA from 1 species